ACCGGAUUCAUGUCGAGAACG
rnacentral:miRNA from 1 species